UGAUGUGAGUUUGUGCGUAAUAUAAAAUUUUGUAUAGAACUCUCUGAAAUUUUGAUUGUUGAUCAUUGUCGGUGAUGAUGGUGUGUGGUAAAUUAAAUCUGUAGAUAAUGAAUUUUUGAAUGAAGCCUUCCAUCUUACUUUUAGUGAUUUAUGCUAGAGGUUCAGCUUCUAUCCAUUUAGUGAAAUAGUCGAUAGUGAUCACUAUGAACUUCCUCUGGUC
rnacentral:lncRNA from 1 species